rnacentral:lncRNA from 1 species
CGCGGGCCGGGGGUCGGGCCGAGAGCGGCGUGAGGGCUGCGGGGCGCUGCGGAGCGCUCCUGUGGCAGCGGGGCUGCGGUGUGUGCGCGCUGUGUGUGCGGUGUGUGCGGUGUGUGUGCGGUGUGUGUGGGGCGGGGGUGUCAGCGCGGGGUGUUUGUCACGCGUGGGGCUGCCGUGUGUGCGGUGUGUGUGGGGCGGGGGUGUCAGCGCGGUGCGUUUGUCUCGCGUGGGGCUGCGGUGUGUGGUGUGUGUGGGGCGGGGGUGUCAGUGCGGUGCGUUUGUCAAGCGUGGGGCUGCGGUGUGCGGGGUGAGAGUGUCGGCGCAGUGCCUUUGUCACGCGUGGGGCGGCGGAGCGGCGCGGUGCGAUGCGCGCUCCUACCGCUGGGGGCCGCUGUCGCGGCGCGGGCAGGCCCUGAGGGCGCUCCCGCCGCCUCCCGCUGCCCGCGGAGCUGCCCGAGGUGCGGCCCUGCCCUCCGCCCUGCCCGGGCACCCUCCCCCGCAAAGAGGGGCUGGGCCGGGCCCCAUCACCCUGCGGGAAUAUCGACAGUGCGGGCCUCGACAGGAAGGGGCCCGGUUCUCGGUGGUGCCAACCGCUAUGACGAGAGGCGCCAGGCAAAAGCUGAUGCACAAGUUCCACCUGAACAUGCCGAACUUGACUUUCAGCAGUGUGGAAAUCAAUUCCUGCAAAGAAGUUGGGAUUUUUACCCGUCCUGCACUCACCAAAUAAAAGGAGCUAUUGUUUUUUCUUCAGUUUUAGGUUCAUCUGUAUUUUUAAGUCCUGCCACAGAACCAGUGCACCUGAACACUGCUUCCACAAGAGUAUUUGAACAAGCACACAUUUUUCAUAUUUCCAAGUGAAAAACCUACAGCUUCAUAACAACUACUGUUACCAUGUGUCUAGUCAUCUUAAAAAAAAUGUUUCUGAACAAGGAUUGUUCUGUUCACACAUUAGCCAGAGAUCAAAGCCACAUACUGUUCAUUAAAUGAAGCUCAGCUGUUGCAUUUUGUUUGUUUAUUUUAGUUUAAUAGGGUAGGAUGAAUCUUAAAAAAGUAGAAACUAAG